rnacentral:rRNA from 1 species
CUGGAGGUAUCAGAAGUGCGAAUGCUGACAUGAGUAACGAUAAAGGGGGUGAAAAACCUCCUCGCCGAAAGACCAAGGGUUCCUGUCCAACGUUAAUCGGGGCAGGGUGAGUCGACCCCUAAGGCGAGGCCGAAAGGCGUAGUCGAUGGGAAACGGGUUAAUAUUCCCGUACUUCUGCUAACUGCGAUGGAGAGACGGAGAAGGCUAGGCUAGCGCGGCGUUGGUUGUCCGCGUUUAAGGUUGUAGGCUGUACACUUAGGCAAAUCCGGGUGUACUUAAGGCUGAGAGCUGAUGACGAGGUCCUAAGGGACUGAAGUAGUUGAUGCCAUGCUUCCAGGAAAAUCUUCUAAGCUUCAGGUUAGUAGGAAUCGUACCCCAAACCGACACAGGUGGUCGGGUAGAGAAUACCAAGGCGCUUGAGAGAACUCGGCUGAAGGAACUAGGCAAAAUGGUACCGUAACUUCGGGAGAAGGUACGCUCCUAGCGGUGAUGAGACUUGCUCUCUAAGCUGCCGGGAGUCGCAGAUACCAGGUGGCUGCAACUGUUUAUCAAAAACACAGUACUGUGCAAACUCGCAAGAGGAAGUAUACGGUAUGACGCCUGCCCGGUGCCGGAAGGUUAAUUGAUUGGGUUAUCUUCGGAGAAGCUCAUGAUCGAAGCCCCGGUAAACGGCGGCCGUAACUAUAACGGUCCUAAGGUAGCGAAAUUCCUUGUCGGGUAAGUUCCGACCUGCACGAAUGGCGUAAUGAUGGCCACGCUGUCUCCAGCCGAGACUCAGUGAAGUUGAAAUUGCGGUGAAGAUGCCGUAUACCCGCGGCUAGACGGAAAGACCCCGUGAACCUUUACUAUAGCUUGGCACUGAACAUUGAACCUACAUGUGUAGGAUAGGUGGGAGACUUUGAAGCAUGAACGCUAGUUUGUGUGGAGUCGUCCUUGAAAUACCACCCUUGUAGUUUUGAUGUUCUAACCGCGGCCCCUGAAUCGGGGUUCGGGACAGUGCCUGGUGGGUAGUUUGACUGGGGCGGUCUCCUCCCAAAGAGUAACGGAGGAGCACGAAGGUUGGCUAAGUACGGUCGGACAUCGUACGGUUAGUGCAAUGGCAUAAGCCAGCUUAACUGCGAGACAUACACGUCGAGCAGGUACGAAAGUAGGUCAUAGUGAUCCGGUGGUUCUGUAUGGAAGGGCCAUCGCUCAACGGAUAAAAGGUACUCCGGGGAUAACAGGCUGAUACCGCCCAAGAGUUCAUAUCGACGGCGGUGUUUGGCACCUCGAUGUCGGCUCAUCACAUCCUGGGGCUGAAGUCGGUCCCAAGGGUAUGGCUGUUCGCCAUUUAAAGUGGUACGCGAGCUGGGUUCAGAACGUCGUGAGACAGUUCGGUCCCUAUCUGCCGUGGGCGUUGGAUGAUUGAAGGAAGCUGCUCCUAGUACGAGAGGACCGGAGUGGACGAACCGCUGGUGUUCGGGUUGUUAUGCCAAUAGCAUUGCCCGGUAGCUACGUUCGGAAUCGAUAACCGCUGAAAGCAUCUAAGCGGGAAGCGAGUCCUAAGAUGAGUCAUCCCUAGGAAUUUAAUUCCUCU